GACGAACGCUGGCGGCGUGCUUAACACAUGCAAGUCGAACGGAAAGGCCUCUUUCGGGGGGUACUCGAGUGGCGAACGGGUGAGUAACACGUGAGUAACCUGCCCUUGACUUUGGGAUAACUUCAGGAAACUGGGGCUAAUACCGGAUAGGAGCUCCUGCUGCAUGGUGGGGGUUGGAAAGUUUCGGCGGUUGGGGAUAGACUCGCGGCUUAUCAGCUUGUUGGUGGGGUAGUGGCUUACCAAGGCUUUGACGGGUAGCCGGCCUGAGAGGGUGACCGGCCACAUUGGGACUGAGAUACGGCCCAGACUCCUACGGGAGGCAGCAGUGGGGAAUAUUGCACAAUGGGUGGAAGCCUGAUGCAGCAACGCCGUGUGCGGGAUGACGGCCUUCGGGUUGUAAACCGCUUUCGCUCAUGACGAAGCUUUGUGUGACGGUAGUGGGUAAAGAAGCACCGGCUAACUACGUG
rnacentral:rRNA from 1 species